rnacentral:rRNA from 1 species
CCUACGGGUGGCAGCAGUGAGGAAUAUUGCACAAUGGACGCAAGUCUGAUCCAGCCAUGCCGCGUGCAGGAAGAAGGCUCUAGGGGUUGUAAACUGCUUUUGUACGGGGGUAAACGCAAAUACUUGUAUCUGUCUCAAAGUAUCGUACGAAUAAGGAUCGGAUAACUCCGUUCCUGCAGCCGCGCUAAUAUGGAGGAUUCAAGCGUUGUCCGGAUUUAUUGGGUUUAAAGUUUGCGUAGGCGGUUGGAUAAGUUAGAGGUGAAAUCACGGGGCUCAACUUGGGAAUUGCAUCUGAUACUGUUCGGCGAGAGAGUUGUUGCGGGAGGCGGAAUGUAAGGUGUAGCGGUGAAAUGCGUAGAGAU